UUCUUCAGUAGUAUAGUGGUCAGUAUUUCCGCUUGUCAUUGCUUAGCAACAACUCGCGGGAGACCGGGGUUCAAUUCCCCGCUGGAGAG
rnacentral:tRNA from 1 species